rnacentral:rRNA from 1 species
GACGUAGGGCGCAAGCGUUGUCCGGAAUUAUUGGGCGUAAAGAGCUCGUAGGCGGCUUGUUGCGUCGACUGUGAAAAACCACGACUCAACCGUGGGACUGCAGUCGAUACGGGCAGGCUAGAGUUCGGUAGGGGAGACUGGAAUUCCUGGUGUAGCGGUGAAAUGCGCAGAUAUCAGGAGGAACACCGAUGGCGAAGGCAGGUCUCUGGGCAUUAACUGACGCUGAGGAGCGAAAGCAUGGGGAGCGAACAGG